rnacentral:snRNA from 1 species
CUUUUUUCCUUUAAGAAUCU